UGGGGAAUCUUGCACAAUGGGGGCAACCCUGAUGCAGCGACGCCGCGUGAGCGAUGAAGCCCUUCGGGGCGUAAAGCUCUUUCGGCCGGAACGAUAAUGACGGUACCGGGAGAAGAAGCUGCGGCUAACUACGUGCCAGCAGCCGCGGUAAUACGUAGGCAGCAAGCGUUGUUCGGAGUUACUGGGCGUAAAGAGUGCGUAGGCGGUUUUCUAAGUUCGGUGUGAAAUCUCCCGGCUUAACUGGGAGGGUGCGCCGAAGACUGGGAAGCUGGAGUGUGGGAAAGGCAGGCGGAAUUCCUGGUGUAGCGGUGAAAUGCGUAGAUAUCAGGAGGAACACCGGCGGUGUAGACGGCUUGCUAGACCAUAACUGACGCUGAGGCACGAAAGCGUGGGUAGCAAACA
rnacentral:rRNA from 1 species